rnacentral:tRNA from 1 species
UUCGGGAUCGUCCAACGGCAGGACGCUUGGCUCUGAACCAGGCAAUCGGGGUUCGAAUCCCUGUCCCGAAA